rnacentral:lncRNA from 1 species
UUCUCUUUCAUCUCUUUCACUCCAACUUUUUCUCUGUCAUCCCUACUCUAGCCCCAAUUGAAAUUUUCAUUCUCAAAACUAAAAAAAGAAGCCCCAAACCCUUAUUUACCUCCUUCAUUCCUCUCAACCCUUUCUCCUUCAUCUCUCUCCCUCAAACAUUUUCUGUCAUCUCUGCACUAGCCCCAACUAAAAAAACACUCAUUAUUAAACAAUUUACUUCUGUAAAGAGUUGAGUCAUUGACA